AGUCUUAGGCUCCGUGACGAAACAUCGCCCGGCGAUGAACAAUCAGCGCAGAAAUCCAGCAGAGCCGCGGCCGGUGGGACGCCGCCGCCGCCAUCCGGAGAUCCAGCGGCCACCCCAACUGUACAGAGCAAAAUACAAAAAGAGGCCCGGGUUCCGUCGAGGGAUUCAACCUCCCCAGGCAGCCCCACGGCCGCCGGACGGACCGGGUUCGAGAUCCUGCCUGAGUACGGUCGUU
rnacentral:lncRNA from 1 species